CCUACGGGUGGCAGCAGUGGGGAAUAUUGGGCACUGGGCGCAAGCCUGACCCAGCAACGCCGCGUGAAGGAAGAAGGCUUUCGGGUUGUAACCUUCUUUUGUCAGGGAAGAGUAGAAGACGGUACCUGACGAAUAAGCCACGGCUAACUACGUGCCAGCAGCCGCGGUAAUACGUAGGUGGUAAGCGUUGUCCGGAUUUACUGGGUGUAAAGGGCGUGUAGCCGGGUUGACAAGUCAGAUGUGAAAUCCUGCGGCUUAACCGCAGAACUGCAUUUGAAACUGUUGAUCUUGAGUACUGGAGAGGCAGAUGGAAUUCCUAGUGUAGCGGUGAAAUGCGUAGAUAUUAGGAGGAACACCAGUUGCGAAGGCGGUCUGCUGGACAGCAACUGACGGUGAUGCGCGAAAGCGUGGGGAGCAAACAGGAUUAGAUACCCGAGUAGUC
rnacentral:rRNA from 1 species